GACGAACCGUGCGAACGUUGUUCGGAUUCACUGGGCUUAAAGGGCGCGUAGGCGGGUCGUCAAGUCGGGGGUGAAAUCUUUCAGCCUAACUGGAAAACAGCCUCCGAUACUGGCGGCCUGGAGGGAGGUAGGGGUGCGCGGAACUCAGGGUGGAGCGGUGAAAUGCGUAGAUAUCCCGAGGAACGCCGGUGGCGAAAGCGGCGCACUGGACCUUUCCUGACGCUGAGGCGCGAAAGCCAGGGGAGCAAAC
rnacentral:rRNA from 1 species